AUAAAGAGAUAAAGAUAGUUUAUUAUUCAAGGAGGCAUAUUACAAUGCGCUUAAGAACGUCAAAUAAAGCUACACCGGCUCUAUCCCUACACCUCGGCCUCGAAAAGAUUUAAAUCCCCCCUUAAUUGGAGGAGGGUUACCAAUAUGGGACCGGCAAGAAACUCGGCGGGACAGAUCUUUUCGAAACAUUACAUCUUAUAAUUAACAUGCAUUA